ACUUUUAGACUUUCAUUCUUUUUUCACUCAGUCGACCACCUCAUUCACAACCUCUCAUUAGCGAUUCCUCAGGCAGCCCACAACCUCAGCUCUCUGCGACGACCCACGUCAUCCCUCCACCGCGAAAGCUCACGACUCUUCGUCUUUCGUCCUCCCUCCUUGAAAAAAGAAUGGUGACACUUCAGAAACUAUUCAGUCCUAACUUGUCACAUUUUACUACUGAUGGAGCUACUGUUUGAAAGAGAAUCUGCCACUGCCAAGGACAUUUGGAUUUUUGUUUUUGCUUGUUGUUGCUGCCAAUAUUAAGAGACCAAUGCCUAUUUCCUUUAAUGCUAAUUGAAUAUUUCCUUUUGCUUGUUGUUGUUGUUGCUGCUGCCAAUAUCAGGAGACUAAUGCUGCUUUGAGUUCUUGA